rnacentral:lncRNA from 1 species
CUGCAGGACAAGUUCGAGCAUCUUAAAAUGAUUCAACAGGAGGAGAUAAGGAAGCUCGAGGAAGAGAAAAAACAACUGGAAGGAGAAAUCAUAGAUUUUUAUAAAAUGAAAGCUGCCUCUGAAGCACUGCAGACUCAGCUGAGCACUG